rnacentral:rRNA from 1 species
AUUGAACGCUGGCGGCAGGCCUAACACAUGCAAGUCGAGCGAGCGGCGGACGGGUGAGUAAUGUCUGGGAAACUGCCUGAUGGAGGGGGAUAACUACUGGAAACGGUAGCUAAUACCGCAUACCAUCGGAUGUGCCCAUAUGGGAUUAGCUAGUAGGUGGGGUAACGGCUCACCUAGGCGACGAUCCCUAGCUGGUCUGAGAGGAUGACCAGCCACACGGGAACUGAGACACGGUCCAGACCCCUACGUGAGGCAGCAGUGGGGAAUAUUGCACAAUGGGCGCAAGCCUGAUGCAGCCAUGCCGCGUGUGUGAAGAAGGCCUUCGGGUUGUAAAGCACUUUCAGUGGGGAGGCGUUACCGGCAGAAGAAGCACCGGCUAACUCCGUGCCAGCAGCCGCGGUAAUAC